rnacentral:rRNA from 1 species
AGGACGAACGCUGGCGGCGUGCUUAACACAUGCAAGUCGAGCGACGCUCUUCCUUCGGGAGGAUGACGGAGCGGCGAACGGGUGAGUAACACGUGGGUGAUCUGCCCCGCACUUUGGGAUAAGCCUGGGAAACUGGGUCUAAUACCGAAUAGGACCAUGGGAUGCAUGUCCUGUGGUGGAAAGCUUUUGCGGUGUGGGAUGGGCCCGCGGCCUAUCAGCUUGUUGGUGGGUUAAGGCCUACCAAGGCGACGACGGGUAGCCGGCCUGAGAGGGUGUCCGGCCACACUGGGACUGAGACACGGCCCAGACUCCUACGGGAGGCAGCAGUGGGGAAUCUUGCACAAUGGGCGAAAGCCUGAUGCAGCGACGCCGCGUGAGGGAUGACUGCCUUCGGGUUGUAAACCUCUUUCAGCAGGGACGAAGCGAAAGUGACGGUACCUGCAGAAGAAGCACCGGCCAACUACGUGCCAGCAGCCGCGGU